rnacentral:lncRNA from 1 species
GUGAACUAAAAAAACGAUUUAUCUGACUUCUUGAUAUAAGCACCAUACAUGUCUAAUAAUUGAAGAUGAAGAAGACGAGGCGCCUGGUUCUGGAGAAAUAUGAUCGAUGAUUAACUUCCUUAUGUCUGAAUCGUUUCUUCUAGUAUCCUUUUAUUCUCCUAAAUAUUUUCUUCUAAUUUCCUGUUAAUCCUUUCAAAUUUUAAGAACAUUGUGAAUUGCUUAAGUUUCAAACGGUCCUCCAAUGCUCUAAUCUCUAAUCAGUGUCCUGAAGGGGUGAUUGAAUUAAUCGGUCCUCCUAAAGACCUAAUCAAGUAAGUCUUUUCUAGUGUUUGAAAUUUAUGCAUAACCUACUUGUAGUUGCUAAAAUCUGAUAGUGCUUAUUGAUUAAAAAUUUUGAAAUUUUAGUUUUCUUAUAUAGCUUAGUGGUGGAGUGAAGUAAUUGAUCAAAGUUGUAGUCUUCUUGAUCCAAAAUUGCUAUAAGAUUCAUCAAUUUUUUAGGUAACUUUGUUCUUCAAUUUCUUUUGACUUUUAUAGUUUUAUAAGGCUUUCUGCAAUAACAUUUCUUAAAUUCCUGAUGUAGUUUUUUUUUUUUAAUUUUUGAUUAAUCUGAUAUAUGUCGAAUUUUGUUUGAAAAUAUGAUAUGUAAAUUCCGAUUUUGAAAAGUUUAUAUGUGAAUUUGGUUUUGAAUUUCAAAUAUGUGAAUUUUGAUUUUAAAUAACAAAUGUGUUUUUGAUUUCUGAAUAAUCUGAUGCACAUGAAUACCUGAUGUAUCCUAAAAUCUGAUAAGUUAUUUUAAUCUCUAAAAUUUUGUUGUAUCAGAUUUCUGAAAAUCUAAUGUAUCAUAUUUUUGAAAAAUCUGAUAUGUAAAUUCUUAAAUUGAAAUUAUGAUAUUGAAAAGAGAUGUGUUCUUGAUUUAUGUUUAAUAUGAUGUGGUAUUUUGGAAUAAUCCAAUUAGUUAUUUUAAUUUCUGAAAAUCUGAUGUAUCAAAUUUCUAAAAUUAUCAUUUCAAUUUAAGUUUUGAAAUUAUGAAAUGUUAAUUCCGAAUUUCUGAUACCAUUUUAUGAUUUUGUUUAGGUUGUCAGAUUGAGAUUAUGGAUAGCCAACUUCAGCUUGUAUCAUUCUUUGGUUUUACUAUAUCUUUGUUUAGGUUGUCAGAUUGAGAUUAUGCAAAUGAAAUGGACAUGUAUCCCAAUAUGUUGGUAGCAUAUAAUCUAUUUUUGUUGGUACCAGUCAUAGUUGCUUCAGCAAAAAGAAAUUUUUUUCGCACUUAAAGUUAUUAAAAUUAUAUCUUUGAAGGACUAUCACCCAAUAAAGAUUAAACGGAUUAGCAAUUAUGAGUAUGAAAAAUCAAUUUCUGCUAAGUCUUGAUUAUCAUAAAAUAAGAUAUGGUUUUGCUUCAAAAAAUGCAUAGAGGCAUUGUUUUAGAUAAGUAUUUGUAUGUUUUUGUUUGUAUAACCUUGAUUUAGUUUGUGUAUAAAAUUUAUUUCACUUUUUCUAUAUAUGUAAUUUUUUUAAUAUAUAAGGGCAUUAAUAUAGUAUCUUGCCCCGGGCAUUGAAAAUCAAUGGACCGGCCCUGCUUCUAAUAGAAUUCUAGUCAACUGUAUCAUUUAGACUUCUAAUAGAAUUCUAGUCAACCGGUGAUUGUUUGAGAUUUUAAGAAAUCAUUUAUACCCAUUUUCCCAUAUACUUUUAAUAUUAAUUAAUUUUAUUUGUGUAAGGAUUAUAUAGAAAACUCAAGAAUUUCAUGUAAGGAGAAAUCACAUUUAUUAUACAUGAUUAAUUUGGAUCAUUUGAAGUCGUAUAAGACAGUAUAUACAUAUAUAUAUAUAUAUAUAGAGAGAGAGAGAGAGAGAGAUAGGUUCAAGUAUUUAAAGUAAUUAUUGUGUUAUUGUAUGCAUAAAUAUGGGCCAAUUAAAAUUUAAAAUAUAAAUAAAUAAUUAAAUAAAUAAAAAAUGGUAAUUAGGUAAUUUUAUAAACAACUUCCCCAAAUAUUUUUCUAUAAUUAUGCUAGUUGAUUUUAACCUAAUUUAUCUCCUUUUAAUUACCACCGACAUCACUUUGAAAAACCCUCCGUAGGAUUCGAUCGAAAGUGAACAAGAUCGACUUCGUCUUCGUCUUCAUCUGAUCAGAAAGGAAAGACGAACAGAAGCAGGUAGCGACUAGGUGAUCAGUGGUGGCUACUGUCAAUAGCGGUAGAGUAUCGUCAUCGUCUUCGCCGAUUGAAAAUCUCGCCAUCUUAAUCACACUUUCAACUCUCCUACUGGGGAUCCAUCAUUUAUCUGAUUUUUCACACGCAACCGUAUUAUUUUACACUUCCGAUUUAACCCUAUCAGAGGAGAGUGGAUUCUCGGCCUCGCUUAUAAAAAUUGAUUGAAUCGGAUUGGUUCCAGUCGACAGGCAGUGAGAGUGGAAGAAUUGCUUGAGGAUCAAUGUUUUGUGAUUUUGAGAAGUUAGUCGGUGGAGGAAAUAUGAAGCAGGGCAGGCGGAGGCAAUUAAUUGGAGGAAAAUAGCGGCCGGUCGGAGGAGUGCCACGUAAAACGGCUUGAAACUGCCGCCGACUCAAUAUCAGGUACUAUAUAUNNNNNNNNNNNNNNNNNNNNNNNNNNNNNNNUAUAUAUAUAUAUAUAUAUAUAUAUAAAUUUUACAUUAGCAAAUCAAAAAUGAUUUUGGAUAAUGGAAGCUAGCAGUAAACUGUUUUAUAAGUAAAAAAAAUGGUGAAUGAAUCGUUAUACAGAUCAAGAAGAGAUAAGCAUAAAGCAAGUGAAGCACUAGAAACCUGAUUAUUCAACUUAGAUAAAGCACUAGAAACUAGUUAUUGUUGGUUCAUUUUUUGUUUCUUUUUCGUUGUUGGUUGCUAUGGUUUUAUGUGGCAGAUAAUUUUGUCAGUUGGUAUGUAGUGUAUUCAAUGGAUGAUAUUUGUGAGAUUCCAAUUUUAUUGGAAUGGAAUCAUGAAUUUCAAUUCUGUUGGAAUGGAAUCAUGAACUCUAAUUCUGUUGGAAUGAAGUAUGGAUAUUUUCUCACUGAUUUAUGUAUGUUCUACAAUUUUUGGUUAUUGAUUUUGGUGCAAUUCACAAGUCCACAUGUUUUUCCAAAGGAAUUUAGUUUUUUAUUUUUCAUUUGCUAAUGCAUUAUUGGAAUUUAAACUACAAUUUGGUUUUGUUUUCACAGAAAUUGAUGCUUAGAACGGACCACAAAAUUGAAAGUGAUUCUAAGCAACAUUAUUAUUUUAGAAUGUAUUAGUGUCAUUGUUAGAUUUUGAUGUUUUCUUUCCCGUUUUGAAAGUUUUUUCUGUUUUAUUCUUUAACAAUAAAUAUAAUUCUUAACAAUUGUUAUCCGUAUUCUAUAAGAAAUAAUGUUUUUUUUGUUUUUAUUAUUCAAUUGAUUGUUCAAGAAUUUGUUAUUCUACAAAAAGUGUCUAAAGUCGUGAUCAAGAAAUAGGUUCAAGAAUAUUUUUAUUAUUUAUGGUUCAAGAAUAUUUUUUUUGAAUAUACUCAUAAACAUAUUCUGUCAGAAUGUCCGAAUUAAAAGAAUUAUAAUUCGUAAAAUUGGAUUUUAAAAAUUAAUAGAAUCUAUGAUCCCUUAAAAUAUGUAAUUUUCCUUUAUUAAAUCUAUAUUAAUUGUCUAAAAUACCUUUGUAAUUAAUUUAGAUGAUAUUUUUCAAUUAUAUUUAAUUUAAUAAUAUAUAUUAAUCACUUUCUUAAAAUAAGUAAAAUUGAUUGGCUCAUAUUUAUGCAUACAAUAACACAAUAAUUACUUUAAAUAAAAUAAUCAGAGUANNNNNNNNNNNNNNNNNNNNNNNNNNUUGCGUAGAAACACAUAUAUAGUUGAAUUAUUUACAAAUAUAUGUUUUUUAAAUAUAACAAUAAUUUUGUUAUUAAAAUUGAUAUAAUAACUUGUAUACUAAAUUGAUAUAAUAUAUUGAUUAUUUUGAAUUAUAUGAUAAUAUAUACAUAUAUUAUAACUACAUAAUCUCAACCGUUUGAAUGACUUCUACCCACGAGUUACUCAUGAAUGAAUUUAAAUAUAAUAUAUGGUUUAAUGUUAAUUAUAGUUGUUGUUAUUGUUAAUUAGUUUUUUGAAAUUUUUUUGCUUAACGUUUUAUUUUCUAUCAUUAUAAUUAUUUAAAACAUCAAACAUUGUUUUUGAUUUUAAAUGUAACAAUAUAAUCAUCUAUAUAGAAUUAUUUUUAACUAUUGUUAUUGUAAGUUAUUUUAAGCUACUUAUUUAAAAACUUUUAACGAUUAUAAAAAUAUCUUUAGGAAAUAUUUUAGAUAAAUUGAGAUUAUAAUUUAGUUUUUGCAUUUAACACUACAAUUUAUCACUUUUAACUAUUCACAAAAUAUUCAUUGGGUUUUUUAAAUGGAACUGAAAUUUAUAUUUAAGUUGAGACUGUAAUGUUAUAUUUAAAUUAACAAUUUAAGUAUUUUGUUCAAACUGUUCAAAAAUUGUAGCUUUAAACUGAUAAUGAUUUACAUACAACAACAUAUUAAAUGUAAUAAAUUAAGUAUAAUAUGUUAAAAGUUAAAGAUAUAACUUUGUAAGUAGAAGUAAAUAUAUUAUUUUAAUAUUGAAAUUUUGUUUAUUUAUGAUUACACUUUAGGUUUAAUAUUUAUUUAACAUUAUUAACCAACUUAUAAUCAUUAUUAUAAAGACGUUAUAAUUUAUCAAUUUUAACUAUUUAAAAAAAAUAUUCUUUGGGUUGUUUAAGUUAACUAAAAUUUAUAUUUAAAUUGAUACUGUAAUGUUAUAUGUAAAUUUAUAAUUUAAGUAUUUUAUACAAAUUUUUCAAAAGUUGUAGCUUUAAAAUGAUAAUGGUUUACAUCCAACAAUAUAUUAAAACUAAUAAAUUAAGUAUAAUAUGUUAAAAGUUAAAAACAUAACUUUAUAAGUAGAAGUAAAAAUAUUCUUUUAAUAUUGAGAUUUAGUUUAUAUAUGAUUACACUUUAGGUUUGAUAUUUAUUUAAUCUUAUUAACCAACUUAUAAUCAUUAUUAGAAAAAAACUGAAAAGUCAUUGGAGUUUCUAAUGAAUGUAGUGAACGAAAAAAAUUCUUCCUUUAUAUAUAUACUAGACGAAUGCCCGCGCGUUGCGCAGAAGCAUCUACAUAGUUGAAAUAUUUACAAAUAUAUGUUUUUUUAAAUAUAACAAUAAUGUUGUGGUUAAAUUUGAUAUAAUAAUUUGUAUACUAAGUUGAUAUAAUAUAUUGAUUAUUUUAAAUUAUAUGAUAAUAUAUACAUUUAUUAAAACUGCACAAUCUCAAUCUUUUGAAUGACCUCUACCCGCGGAUUACUCAUAAAUAAAAUUAAAUAUAAUACAUGGUUUAAUGUUACUUAUAGUUGUUGUUAUUGUUAAUUAAUUUUUUAUAAUUUAUUUGGUUAGCGUUUUAAUUUCUAUCAUUGUAAUUAUUUAAAACAUCAAACAAUUUAUUUUUUAUUUUAAAGGUAACUAUAUAAUCAUUUGUAUAGAGUUAUUUUUAACUAUUGUUAUUGUAAGUUAUUUUACGCUAUUUAUUUAAAAACUUUUAACGAUUAUAAAAAUAUUUUUAAGGAAUAUUUUAGUUAAAUUCAUAUUACAAUUUAGUUUUUGCAUUUAGCAGUACAAUUUAUCACUUUUAAUUAUUCACAAAAUAUUUUUUUUGGGUUUUUUAAGUGGAAAUGAGAUUUAUAUUGAUGUUAACCCUAUAAUGUUUUAUUUAAAUUAAGAAUUUAAGUAUUUUGUCAAAACUGUUCAAAAGUUGUAGCUUUAAACUGAUAAUGGUUUACAUACAACAACAUAUUAAAUCUAAUAAAUUAAGUAUAAUAUGUUAAAAGUUAAAGACGUAACUUAGUUUAAUAUUGAAAUUUAGUUUAUUUAUGAUUACAUUUAGGUUUGAUACUUAUUUAACUUUAUUAACCAACUUAUAAUAAUUAUUAGAAAGACACUAUCAUUUAUCACUUUUAACUAUUUACAAAAUAUUUUUUAGGUUGCUUAAGUUGAACUAAAUUUUUUAUUUAAGUUGAUCAUAUAAGGUUAUAUUGAAAUUAACAAUUUAAAUAUUUUAUGCAAAUUGUUCAAAAGUUGUAGCUUUAAAAUGAUAAUGGUUUACAUACAACAACAUAUUAUACCUAAUAAAUUAAGUAUAAUAUGUUAAAAGUUAAAAACAUAAUUUUAUAAGUAGAAGAAAAUAUUUUCUUUUUAAUAUUGAAAUUUAGUUUAUAUAUGAUUAUACUUUAGGUUUUAUAUUUAUUUAACCUUAUUAACCAAUUUAUAAUCAUUAUUAGAAAGAAAUUGAAAAGUCAUGGGAGUUUCAAAUGAAUGUGGUCAAAGGAAAAAUGCUUCCUUUAUAAGUAUACUAGACGAAUUCUCGCGCGUUGCGCAGCGAAAAUUAAAAAUAUAUUGUUAAAAUAUUGAAAAAUAUAUGUUUAAAAUGGUUAUGUUAUUGACAUUAACUUUGAGAUAAUAUUUUUACACUAAUUUAUAUAUAUANNNNNNNNNNNNNNNNNNNNNNNNNNNNNNNNNNNNNNNNNNNNNNNNNNNNNNNNNNNNNNNNNNNNNNNNNNNNNNNNNNNNNNNNNNNNNNUUUUUUUUUUUUUUUGAUUGCUGCACAGUAAUGAAUAGAAUCUAAUUGGGUGUUUGGGCCUUUGGGAUUAAAUUUUUGACAGAAAAUCGAUUGAAUUAAGUUAGAUUUUGGGUUUGAUUGUUUGACAUAAAUCGAUGGAUGAAAUUUGUGUUUGGGUUUUGCCUUUGAUUGCAGGGAAAGAAGAUAGAUCAACACAAGGAUAUCUCGGGCGUUUGGUUUUGGUUCCUGGCUAAAAAUCAAAGAAGAACGAAGAACAUUAACAAAAGAUCUUCAAGGGUGUUUUGAUUUUGAUUGUUUUGAUAGACACCGAUAGGGGAAAUGGGUGUUUGAGUUAGGCUUUGGUCACCUAAACAGGAAGGGACUGACGUGGGGUUUGAUGUUCUUAGUCCAUUUUUGAGAUUGGAUCGAUGAUUAUAAAUAUAGAAUACCAUACUUGUAUAGAAGGAGUGCACGGUUCAAUUUGGAAAGGGAAAGCAAACACUCAAUUAGUUGUACAAAAUAUAACUUAGAAAGGCAACACUCAAUCAAUUGUACAAAAUAUAAGUUAGAAUAAUUUGCCUGUCUUUAUUUAUUUAUUUAUUUGUAUUUGGUAGAUUAAAUAGAUGUAUUUGUGUAUGUAUUGUAAAAAAUCAUUUUCUGCACAUUUAAAUUUUUGGAAUUGUAUAUAAAAUCUUCAAUUUGAUUUUUAAUAGUAUAAAUCACUAUUGUAGCAUGGAUGCAAGUAUGCAUUAUAUUUAAUUCAUUUGAAUGUAUGGUUUUCUCUCAUCUAUAUUAAUGUGUAUAUUAUAAGUGUUCAAAUUGUCAUACAUGUAGCGAUUGGUAUUUGGAAAAAUGUCAUAUAAUUUAUAUAAAUAUUUAUAUUAAUUUAGUGUUGUUAUAAAAUUUUAAUUAUAUAAGAUAGAUAUUUUGAUUACACGACUAAUUUUAUUCUUUUCAAAUGUCAUGACAUAAAAAAUAUAUAUACAUAUAUUGCGGCAUUGUCAUUAUACAACUUAUAAACAUUUUGUUAUUUGAUGACCAUUUGUCAAAUAAUAUGUCUUUUAUAGAAAUUAUAACCAUUACUUAUAAUUGUUUAUAAAUUAUGUCUCUCACCCCUAUAUUACUAAGUAAACAAGAUUUUUGAAAUAUUAUGUUGUUUCCAUAAUUAAAAUUUGCAUCAACCGGCAUUGAGUUUUUAUAUUUUUCUGGAAUACAUUACAAAUAAUAGGAAUCAUGUUGAAAUCAAUAGUUUAAUGUUUCACGAUUAAUAAAUCCGUAAACGUCUGAUUUUUCAACUUCUAUAAAUAUUUUUAUUAAAAAUAUUUCAAAUAUGAAAUUAAAUAUUAGGCUAUAGCCUGACUCCAAAAAUGCUUUUAGAAUUUCCAUUUGAGGUGUGAAAGUCCCUCAACUGAUAGAAACGGUUUUAGUGGUUUUAAGAAAAUCGGUAUUAUACUGGUUUUUAGGUUAUUAAAACAGUCGUAUCUUUUGCAUACGAACUCCGUUUUGGACAUUCUUUAUAUUUUUGGAAACAGGAAAACAUUUACUAUGAUACUAGAGUGUUUUUUUUUUUUCUUACAACGGGCUAAUACGAAAUUUAUGUUUUCCAGACGCAUUCCUAUGGUUGUAGUUUGAGUUGUUUGAUUUGUUUGCAGAUUACAUAUUUGGAAGUAAGAUACCAUCUGGUAUCUUAUAAUAGUCGAAAUGAACUCAUUUAUUUCACAUAAGAUGCACUAAAACUCAAUGAAUAAAAAUACCAAGAAACUUACUGUGAACUUGACCGUUCAUAGUCUUUGACCUAAAUUCCGGGAUGUCACAUUAGUGCUCCCACAUCUCUAGCAUAGGUUCCGAAGUCCACUCAGAACGUUUCCAAUGCUGCCAUUUGGACCUUGGAUAAUGGUACCACCUUGUUGCGUAAGGACUCGUCUUCCUGCCUAGAAUCACUAUCGGUCUUUCCACAUAAUUUAGGUGCUCAUCAACCUAAAUGUCAUCCAAGGGGAUCAUUGUCGAAUCGUCAAACACAUACUUCCAGAGUUGAGAAACAUGGAAGGUUCUGUGAAUCUUACUAAGCUCCUUAGGCAAAUCUAAUCGAUAGGCCACCUUGCCUACUCUGGCUAUCACCUGGAAUGGUCUGAUAAAUUGGGGCCCCAACUUGCCCAUUUUCCUGAAGCGUAUAACACCCUUCUAGGGUGAUACCCUUAUACUACAAGAAAAACGCGAUUUUGCUAGGGAAGGGCGCUAUGGAACAUAUUUUCGUUGUUAAUCUGCAACAGAUUGCGCUAUGGAAUAUCGUUCCAUAGCAAGGUUGCUACCACAUUGUUUACGUAAUUUAUUUUCGAUAGCGAGCAUGGGAAUUGCUAGGGAAAAUGCUACCGACUCCAUAUCCGUUUCUAUUAUGCUACCGAUAUUUCUAUGGAAAAAACAUUCGUAGCAAUUUUCCAACGAAAUUUUUUAAGAAAACACUUUCCGUUAUACUGCUGCUAUGGAAUUAAUUAUCAUGGUUAAUAUGCAAUGGAAAUUUUCAAUGGAAAACAAUUCCAUAGUUGCCUUGCCAUGGAAGUACCAUUCGUAGGUAUUUGCUAGGGAAUUCUACUAUGGAAUUCGAUUUUAUUUGCUUGUUUUGCUGUGGAAAAAAAUCCUAGCUAAUUUGUGACGACAUUUGUUACAAAAUUUCUCUAUAAGUACAUUCAACUUCAUUCAAAUUUGUGUUUGAAUCAUCCAACCCUAAAGACGUAUUGUCAUCAUCAAUGGAUGUUUCGCCAUGUUUAUCCCAAAACCAAUAUUCCUGAAAAAAAAAAACCUGACUUGUACAAAUGAUGCUUAACAGUAUCAGGGUCUCUAUAUGGUAUGUUAUGAUAUUUGAUGCAUGAGCAUUUGAUUCAAUUUUCGUCCAUAAACCUUUGUUGACUGGUAGCAAAGUCUAUGAAUUUUGUCACUCCUUGUAUGAAAACAGACGAUACACAAGCUUGGUUAUCUUUUCUUUCAUACAUCCACGUUCUAUUGGUAUUGUUCAUAAUGUUAAUUAAAUAUGUAAAAUAUACAUUUAAAUAACAUAAUAUUAUAUUCAUUUAUAUGGCUUCGAAUUGUUAAAUGGGAUUUGAAGUAAAUAUAUGUGUACAAUAUAAAUAUUGCAAAGGUACCUUUACUAUAAAUUGUUUCACAAAGUUAAUGACCGAUUGAUGAACCAAUCUUCAAUGUUUUGUCGUUUGUAUGGUUGAAUCACUUUGAUUAUUUGAUAAUGGCGUACAAUAUUUGUAGAAUGGUUUAACUGAAUUUGACAAUUGUAUAACACAGUUUCAAAGAAAGAGUGUAUGCAGGAACCUUCGACAACCCUUGAUUUCGAUGUGGUGGAUGGAUACUAGGUCAAAGUAUUUGGUCGAUAUUAUUCAGUACUAGGUUAAAACUCGUGUAGUACACAGGUAAUAAAUUUAAAUAUCAUGCAUAAUAAAGUCACAACUUUGAAUAGUAUGAAAUACUUAAAUUAUUAGUUUGAAUAUAAUGUUAAAGGGGUCACUUAAAUCAAAUUUUCAAGUAAACUUAAAAUAAAAUCCAAAAUUUAUUUUAUAAAUAGUUAAAAUAUAUAAAUUAUAGUGUUAAAUGCAAAGCCUAAAUUGUAACCCCAAAAUAUCUAUAAAAAAAACAAUGUUUGAUUUUUUAAAUAAUUACAAUGACAGAAAUUCAAAAGAUAAGCAAAAAACUUUUUGAAACUUACCAUGAUGUAAUAAAUGAUCAAACUUAAACAAAUUAACAUCAUCAAGUUACUACUUUACUAUAUACCAUACACAGUGGAGAGUCUAAUUACCAAAUCCAAAAUAGAUUAUAUUUAUGUAUUGAUAUUAAACCAAAUUAAAAAUAUAUAUUAACAUUUCACCAAAUUACAAGUAUAUAUUCACAUUACACCAAAAUACAUAUAUAAUAUACAUCACUAAUUGUCUGAAUCAAACAACCAUCAUAUAACUACUCUAAACUAAUGUCAAACAUCCUAGCAAACUCAACCAAACAUGCAUCCCACAAACAAAUAUCACAAUUAAACAACCAACUAUAUUCAUGCAUAAAAGCUUUACCAUAUCUGCUCACAGAAAGAUGCUUUGCACAACUUUUAUGCAAGUCAUAAAAUUGCAUCUACUUUGAUCUUCCUUCCGUAACCAAGAGGUUGUUUGUUUUUUGUCUGCAGAUCUACGUGAUCUCUUUUGAUUGUGUCGCGCAGACCACGCACAAACAUACGAGCUUGCAGUGUGUUUGUUUUUUGGAAGUCUGCAGACAUAGAAACAUUUGCACGAGCUCUCUAUGCCACAGACUUGGCCUUGUGUCUUUAGAGGUCUACACACUUUAAUCAACCAAAAAAAGCACAAAAAAACGUACGCAUCUUAUUUCUCUUGACAUAUCAUAUCAAUGCCUCCUUCCUUCUCACCAUUCAACCAUUCGUACUUCAUCGUUCGUCUUCUUCCUCUCGCUGUUGUUGCCAUCCAGACUGUAGGUCGUCCACAACAGUCCUGUCGUUCACGUCUACAGCCGCUGCCGACAUCCAUUGUUACCUCCUCAUGAUCGACGACUCCCUUCAUCACCAAUUUUCUUCAGCAUCGUCUCCUCCUCUGGUCAUCGAACAUCUCCAGGUCGGCACCGCUGCUACCUUGUCAAAUCACCAGAUUAGAGGAUCUCCUGAAAAUAGGUUAUUUUUUUAGUUUCUGUAAUUUAUGCUAAAUCAUGCUACAAUUUGUUGUAAAACUCAUUUUAAUGUUUAAUGUAGCGUCUCAGUUUCUCUUUGGAGUUCUAAAAAAGGAAUGAAAUUGAAAUUGUAGGUGAUUUGGUGGUUAAUAUGAAGAUAGUUGUUUAUAUAGUCUGCCAUUACAUAUUUGCCCACCACGUAUUUGAUGAAAUGCUUGAGAGAGAGUUGAGAUCUUUGCAAAAUAAAGAUUGGUUGAUUGAGUUGAAAAAUAUAUAUUUGCUUCCUAUCAUAUGAAGAUUUUCAUUGAAGAUUGGUUGAUUGAGUUUAACAGUCCCAUGAGUUCAAGCUAUUGGUUUAAUCAUCAGUAUGUGUAUCUUUAUUCACAUUCAUUAGUCUCCAACAUAAUUUUGCUGUAAAUUGCAAUUACAUUGUUGAUACAUCUUUCUAAAUCGUCAUUCCAGAAUGAUCACUGUAUAAAUGCUAAAGUAAAUUUUGCAAAUUUGAUGUUCUCAAAAUGAGAGUGUGAUUAAGGAGUACUUAAUAUUUUGCUACAUUUAUUAGAUAAGAUGAGCUAAUGGUUGAAUAUAUACUGACCCCACAUGAUUUUAACUACUUGCAGUGUCAAUAGUAUUAGAUAAGAUGAGCUAAUGGUUGAAUAUAUAGUGACCCCACAUAUUAGAUAAGACGAGCUAAUGGUUGAAUAUAUACUGAUCCCACAUGAUUUUAACUACUUGCAGUGUCAAUAGAGGAAUGGAGUUUGGCUUGCUGGUUUAUUUGCUCUUGGUGGUGGGUAAGGGAUGAUUGGUUGGCGGAACAUUUGUUUUUUUUAUUGUGUUUGGUGUAGGUUUGAAUUCAAUUAGUCCAUUGGUUUUGCUAAUACAAUUCCGAUUGCUAAUGAAAACAUAAUUUGUAUUACUUAUUAAAAAAAUAUUGCAUUGAAGUUUACAUCCUUAACUUUGUAAAUGUUGGUUUCAU